rnacentral:rRNA from 1 species
GACGAACGUUGGCGGCGUGCCUUACACAUGCAAGUCGUACGCGAAAGGGUGAACCGGCUUGCCGGGGAUCCCGAGUAGAGUGGCGAACGGGAGCGUAACACGUGAGAAACCUGCCUUGGAGUGGGGAAUAACUUCGAGAAAUCGGAGCCAAUUCCGCAUGAUGCAGCGGCCCCGCAUGGGGACAGUUGUUAAAGACGGCCUCUGCUUGCAAGCCGUCGCUUCGAGAUGGUCUCGCGGCCUAUCAGCUAGUUGGUGAGGUAAUGGCUCACCAAGGCGACGGACGGGUAGCCGGCCUGAGGAGGGUGUCCGGCCUCAUUGGGACUGAGACA